AUGCUCAAGGUUGCUCAAGAAUUGAUCAGACAAAUUCUCCUCCUAAGCAAUGGACCUACAACUAAGAUUUCAAUUUUAUCAAGAAAGAUUAAACUUAUAAUGCCUCAAGUGGAGUUCAUGGUUUCUCAUAUGUCUCUAAGAAUGCUCAUGCCAAGUUUAAAACCUUGCAUCACAAGAUUGCUCAGUCAAUUUCUCAGAUGA